ensembl:lincRNA
AUCAGAGUUUUUUCCAAUGAGUCAACUCUUUGCAUGAAGUGGCCAAAGUACUAGAGUUUCAGGUUUAGCAUCAUUCCUUCCAGUGAACACCCAGGACUGAUCUUCAGAAUGGACUGGUUGGAUCUCCUUGUAGUCCAAGGGACUCUCAAGAGUCUUCUCCAACACCACAGUUCAAAAGCAUCAAUUCUUCAGCACUCAGCUUUCUUCACAGUCCAACUCUCACAUCCAUACAUGACCACUGGAAAAACCAUAGCCUUGACUAGACGGACCUUUUUUGGCAAAGUAAUGUCUCUGCUUUUCAAUAUUCUAUCUAGGUUGGUCAUAACUUUUUUUUCCAAGGAGGAAGCAUCUUUUAAUUUCAUGGCUGAAAUCACCAUCUGCAGUGAUUUUGGAGCCCCCCAAAAUAAAGUCUGACACUGUUUCCACUGUUUCCCCAUCUAUUUCCCAUGAAGUGAUGGGACCAGAUGCCAUGAUCUUUGUUUUCUGAAUGUUGAGCUUUAAGCCAACUUUUUCACUCUCCUCUUUCACUUUCAUCGAGGCUUUUUAGUUCCUCUUCACUUUCUGCCAUAAGGGUGGUGUCAUCUGCAUAUCUGAGGUUAUUGAUAUUUCUCCUGGCAAUCUUGAUUCCAGCUUGUGUUUCUUCCAGCCCAGCGUUUUUCAUGAUGUACAUUGCAUGUAAGUUAAAUAAGCAGGGUGACAAUAUACAGCCUUGAUGUACUCCUUUUCCUAUUUGGAACCAGUCUGUUCCAUGUUCAGUUCUGUCACUUCCUAACCUGCAUAUAGGUUUCUCAAGAUGAAGGUCAGGUGGUCUGGUAUUCCCAUCUCUCUCAGGAUUUUCCACAGUUUAUUGUGAUCCACACAGCCAAAAGCUUUGGCAUAGUCAAUAGAGCAGAAAUAGAUGUUUUUCUGGAACUCUCUUGCUUUUUCCAUGAUCUAGCAGAUGUUGGCAAUUUGAUCUCUGGUUCCUCUGCCUUUUCUAAAACCAGCUUGAACAUCAGCAAGUUCACUGUUCAUGUGUUGCUGAAACCUGGCUUUGAGGAUUUUAAGCAUUACUUUUCUAGCGUGUGAGAUGAGUGCAAUUGUGCUGUAGUUUGAGCAUACUUUGGCAUUCCCUGUCUUUGGGAUUGGAAUGAAGACUGACCUUUUCCAGUCCUGUGACCACUGCUGAGUUUUCCAAAUUUGCUGGCAUAUUGAGUGCAACACUUUCACAGCAUCAUCUUUCAGGAUUUGAAAUAGCUCAACUAGAAUGCCAUCGCCUCCACUAGCUUUGUUCAUAGUGAUGCUUUCUAAGGCCCACUUGACUUCACAUUCCAGGAUGUCUGGCUCUAGGUGAGUGAUCACACCAUCAAGAUUAUCUUGAAGAUUUUUGCACAGUUCCUGUGUAUUCUUGCCAACUCUUCUUAAUGUCUUCUGCUUCUCUUAGGUCCAUACCAUUUCUGUCUUAUGGAGCCCAUAUUUGCAUGAAUUUUUCCCUCCGUAUCUCUAAUUUUCUUGCAGAGAUCUCUAGUCUUUCCCAUUCUGUUUUUUCCUCUAUUGUUUUGCAUUGAUCACUGAGGAAGUCUUUCUUAUCUCUCCUUGCUAUUCUUUGGAACUCUGCACUCGGAUGCUUAUAUCUUUCCUUUUCUGAUGCGUAUAUCUUUCCUUUUCUCCUAUGCUUUUCACUUCUCUUCUUUUCACAGCUAUUUGUAAGGCUUCCCAAGACAGCCAUUUUGCUUUUUUGCAUUCCUUUUCCAUGGGAUGUUCUUGAUCCCUGUCUCCUAUACAAUGUCUAGAUCCUCUGGCCAUAGUUCAUCUGGCACUCUAUCUAUCAGAUCUAGGCCCUUAAAUCUAUUUCUCACUUCCACUGUAUAAUCAUAAGGGAUUUGAUUUAGGUCACACCUGAAUGGUCUAGUGGUUUUCCCCAUUUUCUUCAAUUUCAGUCUGAAUUUGGCAAUAAGGAGUUCAUGAUCUGAGCCUUGUUUUUGUUGACUGUAUAGAGCUUCUCCAUCUUUGGCUGCAAAGAAUAUAAUCAAUCUCAUUUCGGUGUUGACCAUCUGGUGAUGUCCAUGUAUAGAGUCUUCUCCUGUGUUGUUGGAAGAGGGUGUUUGUUGUAACCAGUGCAUUCUCUCUGCAAAACUCUAUUAGCCUUUGCUCUGCUUCAUUCCGUAUCCCAAGGCCAAAUUUGCCUAUUAUCCCUGUUGCUUCUUGACUUCCUACUUUUGCAUUCCAGUCCCAUAAAAUGAAAAGGAUAUCUUUUUUGGGUGUUAGUUCUAAAAGGUCUUGUAGGUCUUCAUAGAACCGUUCAACUUCAGCUGCUUCAGCAUUACUAGUUGGGGCAUAGACUUGGAUUACUGUGAUAUUGAAUGGUUUGCCUUGGAAAUGAACAGAGAUCAUUCUGUCGUUUUUGAGACUGCAUCCAAGUACUGCAUUUCGGACUCUUUUGUUGACCAUGAUGGCUACUUGAUUUCUUCUCAGGGAUUCCCUGCCCACAGUAGUAGAUAUAAUGGUCAUCUGAGUUAAAUUCAUCCUUUCCAGUCCAUUUUAGUUUGCUGAUUCCUAGAAUGUCAACGUUCACUCUUGUCAUCUACUGUUUGACUAAUUCCAAUUUGCCUUGAUUCAUGCAUCUAACAUUCCAGGUUCCUAUGCAAUAUUGCUCUUUACAGCAUCGGACCUUGCUUCUAUCACCAGUCAUAUCCACAGCUGGGUAUUUUUUCUGCUUUGGCUCCAUCCCUUCAUUCUUUCUGGAGUUAUUUCUCCACUGAUCUCCAGUAGCAUAUUGGGUACCUACUGAGCUGGGGAGUUCCUCUUUCAGUAUCCUAUCAUUUUGCCUUUUCAUACUGUUCAUGGGGUUUCCAAGGCAAAAAUACUGAAGUGGUUUGCCAUUCCCUUCUCCAGUGGACCACAUUCUGUCAGACCUCUCCACCAUGACCCGCCUGUCUUGGGUGGCCCCACACAGCAUGGCUUAGUUUCAUUGAGUUAGACAAGGCUGUGGUUCAUGUGAUUAGAUUGACUAGUUUUCUGUAAUUAUGGUUUGUGUUUACCCUCUGAUGCCUCUUGCAACACCUACUGUCUUACUUGGGUUUCUCUUACCUUGGACUUGGGGUGUUUCUUUGCUGCUCUAGCAAAGUGAAGCCACUGCUCCUUACCUUGGAUGAGGGGUAACUCCUCACAGCCACCCCUCCUGACCUUGAACAUGGAGUAGCUCCUCUUGGCCCUCCUGCACCCACUCAGCCACUGUGCCUUGGACAUGGGCUAACUCCUCCCGGUAGCUGUCCCUGACCCUGGACGUGGGGUAGCUUCUCUCAGCCACUCCUGUGCAGUCGCAGCCUGGCACUCUUGGCUGCUGCCCCUGACCUCAGCCACUCUUCUGCGCAGGUUCUUACCAGACACCACAUCUAUUAGUAUCUUGACCUUGAAAUUCACAACUUCCUGAAUUGUGAGAAAAUAUUGUCUUCUGUUUAUAAGGUACUGAGUAUAUGAUAUUUUAUUUAACAGACUGAAUUAAGUCAGAUGAUAAUUUCACAUGUUGAGGGCAAGUUUAACCUGUAUAUAAUUAUAUAUAUAUGCUUAGAAAAGUAGAAUUGGAUACUAAACUAAGAAGGGCUCCUAGAAUAUACUGAGGCAUUUCUAGUUUGAGGUUAUGAUUUUGAGUUAACCUUUCUGUUAGAGUUUUCUUUCAUUUUGAUUUCAAU